AACGAACGCUGGCGGCGUGGAUAAGACAUGCAAGUCGAACGGAGGAUGUGUAGCUUGCUAUAACAUCCUUAGUGGCGCACGGGUGAGUAACGCGUGAGCAACCUGCCCAUAAGUUGGGGAUAGCCCUGGGAAACCGGGAUUAAUACCGAAUGUGGUAGCAAUACUAAAGCAGUAAUGCGCUUAUGGAGGGGCUCGCGUCCUAUUAGUUAGUUGGUGAGGUAACGGCUCACCAAGGCGAUGACGGGUAGCCGGUCUGAGAGGUUGAACGGCCACAUUGGGACUGAGACACGGCCCAGACUCCUACGGGAGGCAGCAGUGGGGAAUAUUGCACAAUGGGGGAAACCCUGAUGCAGCGACGCCGAGUGAGGGAAGAAGGUUUUCGGAUUGUAAACCUCUGUCCCGGUUGAAGAUAAUGACGGUAGACCGGGAGGAAGCUACGGCUAAUUACGUGCCAGCCGCCGC
rnacentral:rRNA from 1 species